GAGUUUGAUUCUGGCUCAGGAUGAACGCUAGCGAUAGGCUUAACACAUGCAAGUCGAGGGGCAGCAUGAACUUAGCUUGCUAAGUUUGAUGGCGACCGACGCACGGGUGCGUAACGCGUAUGCAACUUGCCUUACAGAGGGGGAUAACCCGUUGAAAGACGGACUAAUACCGCAUAUACUUAUUCGGUUGCAUGACCGGGCAAGGAAAUAUUUAUAGCUGUAAGAUAGGCAUGCGUCCCAUUAGCUAGUUGGUGAGGUAACGGCUCACCAAGGCAACGAUGGGUAGGGGAACUGAGAGGUUUAUCCCCCACACUGGUACUGAGACACGGACCAGACUCCUACGGGAGGCAGCAGUGAGGAAUAUUGGUCAAUGGGCGAGAGCCUGAACCAGCCAAGUCGCGUGAAGGAAGACUGUCCUAAGGAUUGUAAACUUCUUUUAUACGGGAAUAAACGGGCGAUACG
rnacentral:rRNA from 1 species